rnacentral:rRNA from 1 species
UUAAGCAUAUCAAUAAGCGGAGGAAAAGAAACCAACAGGGAUUCCCCUAGUAACGGCGAGUGAAGCGGGAACAGCUCAAAUUUGAAAUCUGGCCCUUGGGUCCGAGUUGUAAUUUGCAGAGGAUGCUUUUGGUGCGGUGCCUUCCGAGUUCCCUGGAACGGGACGCCUUAGAGGGUGAGAGCCCCGUACGGUUGGCCACCAAGCCUGUGUAAAGCUCCUUCGACGAGUCGAGUAGUUUGGGAAUGCUGCUCAAAAUGGGAGGUAUAUUUCUUCUAAAGCUAAAUACUGGCCAGAGACCGAUAGCGCACAAGUAGAGUGAUCGAAAGAUGAAAAGCACUUUGAAAAGAGGGUUAAAUAGCACGUGAAAUUGUUGAAAGGGAAGGAUUUAUGACCAGACUUUUUCUAGGGGGAUCAUCCGGUGUUCUCACCGGUGCACUUCCCCUAGUUGAGGCCAGCAUCGGUUUCUGUCGGGGGAUAAAAGCUUCGGGAAUGUGGCUCCCUCCGGGGAGUGUUAUAGCCCGUUGCAUAAUACCCUGACGGGGACCGAGGUUCGCGCAUUGCAAGGAUGCUGGCGUAAUGGUUAUUAAUCACCCGUCUUGAAACACGGACCAAGGAGUCGAACAUUUGUGCGAGUGUUUGGGUGUUAAACCCUCACGCGUAAUGAAAGUGAACGGAGGUGAGAGCCCUUCGGGGUGCAUCAUCGACCGAUCCUGAUGUCUUCGGAUGGAUUUGAGUAAGAGCAUAACUGUUCGGACCCGAAAGAUGGUGAACUAUGCGUGGAUAGGGUGAAGCCAGAGGAAACUCUGGUGGAGGCUCGCAGCGGUUCUGACGUGCAAAUCGAUCGUCAAAUCUGCGCAUGGGGGCGAAAGACUAAUCGAACC